rnacentral:rRNA from 1 species
GAUGAACGCUGGCGGCGUGCCUAAUACAUGCAAGUCGAGCGAACAGACGAGGAGCUUGCUCCUCUGACGUUAGCGGCGGACGGGUGAGUAACACGUGGAUAACCUACCUAUAAGACUGGGAUAACUUCGGGAAACCGGAGCUAAUACCGGAUAAUAUAUUGAACCGCAUGGUUCAAUAGUGAAAGACGGUUUUGCUGUCACUUAUAGAUGGAUCCGCGCCGCAUUAGCUAGUUGGUAAGGUAACAGCUUACCAAGGCAACGAUGCGUAGCCGACCUGAGAGGGUGAUCGGCCACACUGGAACUGAGACACGGUCCAGACUCCACGGGAGGCAGCAGUAGGGAAUCUUCCGCAAUGGGCGAAAGCCUGACGGAGCAACGCCGCGUGAGUGAUGAAGGUCUUCGGAUCGUAAAACUCUGUUAUUAGGGAAGAACAAAUGUGUAAGUAACUAUGCACGUCUUGACGGUACCUAAUCAGAAAGCCACGGCUAACUACGUG